rnacentral:rRNA from 1 species
CCUACGGGUGGCUGCAGUCGAGAAUCAUUCACAAUGGGGGAAACCCUGAUGCAGCGACGCCGCGUGUGGGAAGACGGUCCUCUGGAUUGUAAACCACUGUCCCCAGGGACGAAGAUGACGGUACCUGGGGAGGAAGCUCCGGCUAACUACGUGCCAGCAGCCGCGGUAAUACGUAGGGAGCGAGCGUUGUCCGGAAUUACUGGGUGUAAAGGGAGCGUAGGCGGGACUGCAAGUUGGGUGUCAAAUCUACCGGCUCAACCGGUAGCCGCACUCAAAACUGCAGUUCUUGAGUGAAGUAGAGGCAGGCGGAAUUCCUAGUGUAGCGGUGAAAUGCGUAGAUAUUAGGAGGAACACCAGUGGCGAAGGCGGCCUGCUGGGCUUUUACUGACGCUGAGGCACGAAGGCCAGGGGAGCGAAAGGGAUUAGAUACCCGGGUAGUC